CCAGGAGGCAGAGGUUGCAGUGAGCCAAGAUUGCGUCUUUGCACUCCAGCCUGAGUGACAGGAGCGAAAAGUCUGUCCCCCCCCAAAAAAGCAACAGCUUUUGGGCAAUGAUCUACCAUUACUAUACCUCCCUUCCCUUCAUUUUCAAAAGAAAUUUUCAUGCAUUUAACAAACAUUAUUAAGAUUACAUUCUUUCUUCUCAUGUUAAGUCUUUGAAAUAUGGGGUGUAUUUUAUACUUAAAAGCAUGUCUUAAUUUGGACUAGACACAUUUCAAGUGCUCAGUAGCUACAUGUGGCUAGUGGUUACUGUAUUAGAUGCCUAGCACUAGUAUGUCUCAAAAUAACUGUUGAGGCUGGACACAGUGGCUUACACCUAUAAUCCCAGCACUUUGGGAGGUUGAAGUGGGAGGAUCGUUCCACGCUGCAGUGAGCCAUGAUCAUGCCACUGUACUCCAGCCUGAGCCACAGGGCAAAACCCUGACUCAAAAAAAAAAAAAAAAAACCCCACACAAGAUAACCCCCAAAAACGAAAGGCUGGGACCAACUAGGAUUAACACUUGCCCUGCAUUUACUUCUCUGGGUGCGGGUUGGGUAAUGCAGAAGGGAAUGACGGAAUCUGAAGCGGCUUACCCAUCAAAGGAAGAGCUGGUGCAGUCAUAUACCAUCUCUCGGUUACCCUUCAUUUGUAGAUAUGCAUCACAAUUGUCACAACCAUCAUAUUCAAACUGGUCUAUAGUCUAGGAGUGAAGAAAAAUAAAGGAAAAGGAGAGAUAAGCAUGAACAAGACCAAGAGACAAAGUAGCCUUCUCAAUACUUCGACCUGCUCAGUUUCUUGUUUCCCUAUGUUGACUUUGUCUCCCAAGGUUCCCCACCUACUACUUUCAAAGCUCCAUUCCUAAGUCCCACCCUCCCACUCCGUCCUCUCUUGUUCCCAAUUCCGUUUUAUCUAUUCCUUUCUCUACUCUGCUCACGGUCAGGCACCCUUUCCUACUACUCACUCAGCUGCGAAUCCCCACCCGCCUCUGACUCCCAGCGUCUUUCGGCUCCAACGUAAGUUCACCAAAUGUCUAAGAGCUGAGGAUUCAAAGGCAUGUAAGACCCCCCGUGCCCUCAGCUGCAAGACCUGCCCGCGAUCCUACGAGCCCGGUUCCGCCCUCUUUCCCCGACCUUGGUCCCCCAUGGUCCCUACAACCAAGUCCCCGACUGACACCUUGACCAGCGAACACAGCAAACAGGCCCGCAGAUGCCGCAGGUCCUUCGGCACUGUCUCCAGGGCCAUCUUCUCCGAUGGGAAGAGCAACAGUGAGAUACACUGCCACAGGCUGCGCACCCGCAGGAAGUAAAUAGCUCGUUACCCAGAAUGCCCGCCACUUCUGGCGCUCAGACUUCCUCUUCCGGUGUGGGCGGGCGCCUGCUCCGCCCCUACCCCCGCCAGAGGAGAUGGUUUCUCCCACCGGCAGGCGGGGAGGCGGGGCGGUCGGCCGCCACCUGGGCUGGGGCGCGUCCCCGCCACCUGAGGCCGCCAAGGGCGCGGCGGAGGCUGUGUAGGGUAGUUAGCGGGCCCCCGAGGGGCGGGGCGGGGCGGGGUGGGUGGCUGCGCUUGCGCGGGAGUUCGUCGGCUUGAGCCUCAGCGACGCGACGCGGGCCGUUUGAUCUGGGCUGCUGGCACUGGGGCGCUGGUCCCGUUCCCGAUGAAAGAGAUGAAGUUGUUACCCUGAGUGACAGUCAUGACAGAAGAAAACCACAAGACCAGACCACAUUUGUGGAUAAAUAUAUUAGCAAAUAAAUACAUUUCUCAACAUA